GCCGCCGCCGCCCACAGCCCCUCCCACGAGCUUGGCGGCGGCGGGGCCUCCUCCCACGAGCCCCUUUUCCCCAUGGUUUUCUUCCUCCCUCAACUCCAAGACAAGCUUGGCGGCUGGGAGAUCCACACCGUGUUCGACAGGAUCUGCCCCCUCCCCCCCUCCUGCGGUUUCCCCUCUUCUACACCCUGCUCCUUGGGUUCACCGGCGGCCAUGGCCUCCCCCGGUGCAGCGCGGGUCGGGCAUCUCAAGGGCGGAUCCGGUCCUCCCAGAUCUGCGCGGCAGUCUUUGGAGGUCUGCUGCCUGCUGCUGGUAUUCAUGAUCUACCUGCAAUCAAAUUUAUUUAUGAAUAAAAUGAAAACUAUAGUGCUACCUGUGCUAGCUAUAUAUCCUGACAUUUCUCUUUUGACAAACAAAAGUUAAUAAAAGAGAAUGAGUGCACGGGUAGCAAUAGCAUCCAAGUUUCACGUCUGUCCAGUCAUCCAAUUUCGCAGACCACAGCCAGAUACUGAAGUUUGCAAUCAUGCAUGUUCCUCAAGAUUGUGGUUUACUAAAACUUGUUAGACUGAGCAGCAAAGGUUUCUAUUCCGUCAUGCUGACUCAUUUUUGUUGAUGGAGUGUCACCAUACAGGAUCACCGUUGACUCCAGCAGGCUCAGUACAAAUUCCCUGAGGAUAGUUAGGACCCAAACAUUUCCCUUCAGGCUUUUCCUGCCCGAGACUGUUUCUUUAAAGGGAGCUUGAAAAAUAGCAAAAUUGGAGUUCAAAUUUCCUUUGACUGUGUCGUGCGUCCACUUCAUAUGCUCUUCUAUUGGAGCAUAUAUCGCAAUCAAAGUGCUGAAAACAAAGCCAUUGAUCGAGGUUGCCUCGGAGGAUCGAUGGAGAAGGAUAUUCCCAAUGUCAUUUGUAUUCUGCAUAAACAUCGUGUUGGGGAAUGUCAGCCUGCGCUACAUUCCAGUCUCCUUCAUGCAGACAAUAAAAUCUUUCACUCCUGCAACAACAGUGAUUCUUCAGUGGUUGGU